AUGCGGUGGCUUCGGGGUAGAUGGACCUCCCCAUGCUGUCCUGAGAGAGCAUGGCCAGGGGUCCCCGGAGGACUGGAACAUCGGAACAUCACUUCCGGAGUGGUCCCCAGCUCCUGCGAUCCCAGGGAGGAAGGGGAGCCCAGCCCCCUGCACGGUGUGCAUGUGGCCCUGGGGUGGAGGUGGGUGCUUACCCAUGGGAUGGCACAGCCACCUUCAGGAGAUCACGGCGCCGCAGCUCACCUGGGGUCCCCACCUGAGGGUUCGGAGAAGGGGAGGAGGAGGACUUUAACCAGCCAGAGUGCGUCGGUCCUCCACAAAGCUCUUGGAGCACCUACAGGGUGCUGGGGACGUAGGCUGGGGGCUAAGGUUCCCCCACAAAGUCAUUUAUGUAACAAAGUCCUGCAGGAGGCCCAGUCCCGGAGCAGGGGCAGCUCUGGCGCUGCGGGCCGGUGGCCUCGGCCUCGUGGUGCGGGCGCCGCCCUGGGGGACAGGCAGGAUGGGGUGGGGCAGGGAUCCCGCUGCCCUGCUGGAGGGAGCGCAGCAGGCCCACAGCCCCCCUGCCCUGGGUGUGGGCGCGGAGGGGGCUUCGGGCACCCCGGGCCCAGCCUGUCGGGGAGCCGGGCCGGGGGAGCGACGCGCCGUCACGUCACGUGCUGGGCUCCGGCCGGCGUCCUCCUCCUUCCUCGGGCGCGGGCGGCGCCCCAGAGCCAGGCGAGCCUCAGGGCCCAGCAGGCAGACACCCUCCGCGCCCCCAGCCGCCAGGGCCCGUAUCUCCGCUGCAAUGGGGGGUCCGGGGCGCCCACCCGAGCCCCUAGGCUGCAGCCCUCGCUGCCCGUGGAGCCCUCCGCACCCCCCCAGGUGUCUAGUGGGCCGGCGGGGCCUGGGGGAACCCCGGGGGCUUCUGGGCGCCCUCCGCGCCCCGGCCGCCCCCGGCCUCACCUUCCGGCCUUGGGCGCCACCUGGUGGCCGCGCCUGCGCCCUGCGCUGCCCUUUGUGCGGCGGGAGCAGAGGCUGCUGGGAGGACGGCGGGCGCGCCUCCUGCGGGGUGGCCGCCAGGAGGGCGCGGGGGCAGGGACCCCCGAAGGCCGCCGGGGCCGCAGAACACGCUCUCCGCCGCAGCCGGGGGUAGGCAAGGGGCCCCAGCCAAGGGGGGAGNAACCCCGCGGCACUGGGCCGGGAAAUCCAGCAGGGGGCGGGGGCGGCCAGUUUCCUGAGUUCUUAGCAGCAGCGGGGCCCUAACACCUGGAAUUGUACGGAAUUAGCAGCUUGGCUCCCAGAGAGGAGAGGCGGAGGGUGAGAGGAAGCCUAGCCCCUGCCCCAAAGGGACAGACGCAGGACCAACUGCCCGUGGAGAGACUGGGUAGAACCGGCAGUUUGAAAAACGCCUGGGGCACACGGGACAGUCGUUGAUUCAUCGCAACCGCAACCUGUGUCUCGGAGGGACAGAGGGUGGUGGGGGACACUCCCCCCCCCCCCCCCCCCCGCNNNNNNNNNNNNNNNNNNNNNNNNNNNNNNNNNNNNNNNNNNNNNNNNNNNNNNNNNNNNNNNNGGGGGAGCCCCCCCCCCCCCCCCCCAGCCUGGACCCCCGCUACCCGCCUGUGGGAACUAGCGCGGAGAGGCUCCAGCUAACUGCCUGCCCCGUGCUCCUGCGGCUCCACCCCUGGGGCUUGGCCUGCCUCAAUCCUGGUGCUGGGGGCCCUCCCGCAGGGAACCAGCCGCUCAAAAACCUUCCCACCCCUGUGCAUGCUCUUGGCAAGUUCCCACCAAAACAGUCCCACCACCCUGGCAGUGUGCAGGCAGCCCCCGACAAGGGCCAGCCCCACUCCAAAGUGAGUCCUGCCCCAGGGGGAGGGGAAGAGGACCACAGGCCAGUCUGACAGCGGCCCCAGCAGUCGGCUGGGGGCAGGCAGCUGGUCUGACUGCAGGCCCCGCACACCAAUAAAAGCUUCUGGGGGACAAUACA
ensembl:lncRNA